CUCUCUGUCUCUCUCUCCUUGUGCUGUCUCCCUUCAUAGGACACAGGCAGCUGUGCUAGGUGUGCGUCCUCACAGGCUAGGUCUCGGGAGCUAGGAACAAGUAGGAGGGGACUGAAAUCGUGCAGGGUAGUGAGCACUAGAGUGCAGCAGUGACUAGGAAUCAUUCAGGAGCAGCAUCUGGAGGAGAAAUUUGCAGAAGUGGGCCUGAGCCACCUGGACAUCCUCCUAAGCAGAAAUUAACAGUCCCCAGCUUUCUGCCUUCCGCAUAACUGGGGAAAAGAAGUGGAAGGUCAGAGUCCACUCCCUCAAGCGAUGGAAAGGGAGGGAGAGCUGGGAUAUUCCGAGCAUUGUUGAUGCCAGGCAAGAGCCAUCCAGCUGGGAGCAGAGCAACUGUCACCAUCAGUGAGGGGAAAGAAGUCAAAGGUAAGAGCCCACCCCUGUUGUGAGAUGGAAAGCAUCCAAAAGCCAUGAGAAAACGAGCAUUAUUGAUGCCAGGCUAUGCAGAUGCUGUUGAGCUGGGAAUGGAGCAGCCAUCACCAUCAGUCAGAUAAGUGUCUGGUUUGGUGAGGACUCUGGUAACAGCCCACCUGCCUACAGGC
rnacentral:lncRNA from 1 species